UAAAUACUGAACAUGAUUGAUAGCGGAAGCACAAACACUGAAGUAUCAUUCAGUCAGAACAGUAUUGCUGAAUGGGAAGAGUAAGCACGAGCAUAUGUCAUUCACAGUGAGCACUGUGUAUUUUAAUGAAUGGAACGAGACACCGCUCUGUUGCUUUCUCUGUAAGAUUGGCCCAAUCGCUAUGAUUACUCUGAUUGUAAGGAUAAAGGCAUGAGGUUCAUGGUGGGGAAAGACUGGAGGGACUUCUUUGACGGGGUCAUUGUUCAGGCAGACAAACCACACUUCUUCAAUGACUGUGAAUAUCUCUCCUGGACCUAGUUUGUCGUCAGUGUAGUGUGAAGAGGCCCUAACUCUGACUAAGAACAAAGAACCUGUUCAACAUGGCCUCCAUCAGCUGUGUGCUAAAUUACGACCUCUCCGAUACCUUCUACCCCCUAUGCAUCCCUCUACAGCAUGAGGUGCCCCUGUGGAUGGACCAGAUUUGCAGUGGCUGCAUGAAGACCCCUUUCCUAGAGGAGAUGGCCCACAUCUGCUGAGCUAACAAUGGGUUGUCAUUGCUGGGUUCUCAACAUGGACAUUCACAAAGCAGCCCACUAGAGGCCACUGGUGAUCAGUAUUAUUCAGAGAAUAAGCUUAGGUUAUUGCUAUUUCUGUAAUUGAAUACUGUGAGUAGUAUCAUGGCCUAUAUAGGAGUUACUCUCUGGCAGAUCUAAGUGAACCAAUAAUAGACAUGAACUUCAGAAACCUUUAACUUAAACACCCUUCAUUGUACAUGUUAGUUAUUAACUAAUGGGUCAUACACCCAUCCCUGUGUGACUGGCAAACAAAAUAUCUGGUUGCAUUUGAUGAACAGCAUGCAAAGACCGAUGCAGCAUGUGCCCAUCAUGGACACAUGUCUAUUCCGUGAUGAAGACAUAGCACGUACUGUAUGUUAACAAUGUAUGUUCAAAAUACUAUAGCUGCUUUUAAAAACCUGUUUUUGUGCUUGUAUACAUUCAAUAGAAUAUGGCUAAAUUUAAACAAUUUUGUCACUGUUAUAACCUUUUUCAUUUGUGAUGAUGUUGCAUGUGUAGCCUAUUGAUUGUUGACGGAUCCAACUCAAGCUCUCAUGUCCAUAAAAAUGUAAUUGUGCAUUGGAAGAACAAGAAGUUAGACAAUCAAAAUCUGUAAAUCAAGAAAUGUGUAUGAAUUUUUGAGGUAGGCAUCUAUUCAAAUUGAUUUCACAUACAGCUAUCACAUACAGUUAUCUACUAAA